AGAAAUAUAAAACACUAUGAUAUUAAUGUUAGAACUUAAUACAGCAAAACACAGAAGUGACAAUAACGAAAUGCAAUAUUAAAAACUUUGUUAAUUAUGACACACAACAAUAAAAUACAAAAUUGAAAAUUUUUUGUAAAUUGUGAAAGCCUAACAUCAUGAAACACGCAUAACACAAAAGUGUCCUGCUAUUGCAGGACACAAAAGUGAUGAUAAUACAAUAUAAAUUAGAAACAUUGUUGAUUGCACAACGGUGGUAUAUUCUGCUGUCGGGGAAGCACGUAGUCACUGACCUCUUAAUUAUAAAUCACACCAUCUCCAGGCCAAUGAGAUGCACUGCAGAUCAUUGGAAUUUAAAAUAUGCUCUUUCUUACUCAAUUUAUUUACUUAUAGCAUCUCUGCCACCUUUAUGUUGGUAUUUUCAACUCCACUCAUAAUAAUCUUGGCCUUGUUCCACUCUAUAUCUAUAUCAUGUUCAUAUGUCCUAGUCGCUAGAAUGAUGUUGAAUGAACCUCUUUUUUUUUAUGUCACUUUUGUGUUCUUUGAUACGUGUUCUCAAGGACCUAAUAGUUGAUCCAAUGUGUAUUUCCUCUCUUCCCAAGUCCUUAUUUAUUUAUUAGAGGUAUUUUGUAAACCCCUUGCCUAUUCUCACUAUCGAUCAUUGUCAUUAUGAACUAGCUAAAAACCGCAUUUUUCUUUUUAAAGACUAGAUCCUGUUUGGAGCUGUGUCUUAUUCUGUGCACUCGGAU
rnacentral:lncRNA from 1 species